GAUGAACGCUGGCGGCGUGCUUAACGCAUGCAAGUCGAACGAAGCAUUUCGGUCUUAAUCUUCGGAAGCGGACUGAUCUGACUGAGUGGCGGACGGGUGAGUAACGCGUGGGUAACCUGCCCUGUACAGGGGGAUAACAGUUAGAAAUGACUGCUAACACCGCAUAAGCGCACAGAAAGGCAUCUUUCGGUGUGAAAAUAUUUAUAGGUACAGGAUGGGCCCGCGUCUGAUUAGCCAGUUGGCAGGGUAACGGCCUACCAAAGCAACGAUCAGGAGCCGGCUUGAAAGAGUGAACGGCCACAUUGGGACUGAGACACGGCCCAAACUCCUACGGGAGGCAGCAGUGGGGAAUAUUGCACAAUGGGGGAAACCCUGAUGCAGCGACGCCGCGUGAGUGAAGAAGUAUUUCGGUAUGUAAAGCUCUAUCAGCAGGGAAGAAAAUGACGGUACCUGACUAAGAAGCCCCGGCUAACUACGUGCCAGCAGCCGCCGCAG
rnacentral:rRNA from 1 species